UACGUAGGUGGCAAGCGUUAUCCGGAAUUAUUGGGCGUAAAGCGCGCGUAGGCGGUCUUUUAAGUCUGAUGUGAAAGCCCCCGGCUCAACCGGGGAGGGUCAUUGGAAACUGGGAGACUUGAGUGCAGAAGAGGAGAGUGGAAUUCCAUGUGUAGCGGUGAAAUGCGCAGAGAUAUGGAGGAACACCAGUGGCGAAGGCGGCUCUCUGGUCUGUAACUGACGCUGAUGUGCGAAAGCGUGGGGAUCAAACAGG
rnacentral:rRNA from 1 species